AGUGAACGCUGGCGGCGGGCCUAACACAUGCAAGUCGAACGGCAGCACAGUAAGAGCUUGCUCUUACGGGUGGCGAGUGGCGGACGGGUGAGGAAUACAUCGGAAUCUACUUUUUCGUGGGGGUUAACGUAGGGAAACUUACGCCCAUACCGCAUCCGACCUACGGGUGAAAGCAGGGGAACUUCGGACCUUGCGCGAUUGAAUGAGCCGAUGUCGAAUUAGCUAGUUGGCGGGGUAAAGGCCCACCAAGGCGCCGAUCCGUAGCUGGUCUGAGAGGCUGGUCGCCCACACUGGAAGGGGGACACGGUCAAUGCGCCUGCGGGAGGCAGCAGUGUGGAAUGUGGGACAGUGGUGGCGAGCAUGGUCCAGUCAGAGCGCGUGGGUUGAGAAGGCCCUGGGGGUGUAAAGCCGGUUUGUUGGGAGAGAAAAGCAGCAGGUUAAGACCCCGCUGUUCUGACGGUAACCAAAGAAUAAGCACCGGCUAACUUCGUG
rnacentral:rRNA from 1 species